rnacentral:rRNA from 1 species
AAACAUUUCUUUUGAGUUUAUUUAUAAAGUAAGGCCUGCCCACUGUAUAAAUAAAGGGCCGCGGUAUUUUGACCGUGCAAAGGUAGCAUAAUCAUUAGUUCCUUAAUUAGGGAAUAGUAUGAAUGGCUAAACGUAGUGUUGUUUUAUUAAUUAAAUAAAGUGAAUUUGAAUUUUAAGUGAAAAUGCUUAAAUUAGUUAAUAGACGAUAAGACCCUAUAGAGCUUUAUUUUACGGGUAGCUUAUUAUAAUAGUUAAGAUUAUAAGUUAUUAUUAAAAUUUUGUUGGGGCAACAUAAGAAUAAAUAAAUCUUCUUAUUAUAAGUUUUUAUUAAAUAUAAUAUCUUUUAUUAAUAAAUUUAAAAAAAGUUACCUUAGGGAUAACAGCGUAAUUAAAAUUGAGAGCCCGUAUCGACAUUUUAGUUUGCGACCUCGAUGUUGAAUUAAGAAAUCUAAAUGGGGCAGCUUUUGUUUAAGAUAGUCUGUUCGACUAUUAAAUUCUUACAUGAUCUGA